AGGAAAAUGAAAAACUGUUCUUUGGUUGUAGAGGGCGGGGCGCAAAGGUACAAGCCUGACUGUGCUCGAAUUUCUACGUAGUCUGUCCUUUCUAAAGGAGAGGGAAUUUUAUUGAUCUGAUCCAACCCAUAUUGUGACUGCUGGCUGGAAUUAAGAUUCUUCAGCUUGUCUACAAGAGAGGAAGCACUGAUUGGGAACCACUCAAUCAGAAAAUUUAAAGAAGGAAACCAGAACAUCCCACCAGCCCUUUGAGAAUACAACAUAACAAACGUGACUACUUUACGACUUCCUUGAGUAGGUGAGACCCUGUUUUAUCUGCUGUAAAAGAGUGGCCCACCAUUGCGAUAGGCAGUUCAGUUCUUUGCUAACCAUAGUUUUAAUAUUUUAAAAUUAAAUGCCAGUUUAUUUUUUAAGGAAGAAAUAGCACUUUGAAUUUCACAGCUAACACACUGGGAAUUAUAAAAUGCCAUUUCAGGUUUUAGAUUGACUAAAUGAAAGGCUCUUGAUUUGCAAUGAGUAUUGAACGAAGCCCUGU